rnacentral:lncRNA from 1 species
GCACCUAAACUUUCUCACAGUUUGACUACUCAGUUAUAAGUACUUUUCAACAUGCAGUGUCAUCCUCAAGGUUGUAUUUUGUAUUGUGCACUAAAAUGAAAUACAAACAACAAUUUCAGCAUGACAUGCCUGUUUUGCGGAGAUGGUGGUGCCUGUUGCUCUUGGAAAACAAAGCUUUGAAGAGGUAGACAGUUUAAGUAAAUUAGAUGCCCUAAUUAACUGGAAGACAAUCAAUAUAUUGUCAUUACAGUUAUGGGAAAAUCUUUGCCCACUGGACGAAGGAAUGUCAGGAGCUUAUUGCUGGAAUGCAUACUCCAGUCUUAAGGCUUAAGAGGAAGGCCGAGCAGCAGGACACAGAGGUUAGAAAAUUGCCUUCUAAAAACAGUAUUAUCUCAGUGGGAGUCCUUCAAAAUGCACACAGUUGUAUGGAUCAACAUUGUCUCGAUGUAUUUGGUAAUUGAUGUUACUUUUCAAAUUGACUUGUUCAGGAAACCAUGACACAGACGACAUCUGAUGUCCAAAGAGUGUGCAUGGCAGAUUGCAUGAAAUUCUGUGUCUACCAGACAUCCAACACCACAGGAGAGAUGUUUGUUGCAGACUCAAUUUAAUAAAUGAAAUUAUCGGGGCCUAUUCGGUAAUUUUCCAUGAAGUGACCACUUUCACAUUUAGUUUAUUUGCACGAAUCAUGCGGGGAAAAUUAUUUAUACAUUCAAAUGUGCUGCAGAGGUACAAUCAAUUGGAUAGGGUGUGUGUUUAAUAUUAAGUUUUUCUCUCAUUUGAUCAGAUCGCUUUACCCUGAGGUAAAGUUUGUAAAAUGGGUCCAGUGCAAGACAUGCAGGGGCUGGCUGCAUCAAGAUUGUGCCGGAAUUCACAUGGAGCCCUUUGACUGUGGCUGCGAGGACUUCAUUGAGCAUCCUCGGUAUAACAUAAUUUAUCAGAGAAACAUAGUAUCAGUAAAAAAUAUGAGACGCAAAGGAUGAAAAAAUGAGGGCUUGCUCUUUUUCUUAUUUCUCUGCAGGAUCAAGGAUGCUGUUGACCGUGGAGGAAUUGGUGCUGUCUUUUCUAAGACACAGAUCAAGGUUGCAAUCAGUUAUUAAAGCCACUGUUUCUUUUUCAGAUGAUUACAUGUUUGUCUCUUGCUCUUUGGUUUCAGACAUUACACAAUGAUCUGCUUUCUGGAAACAUCCGCUCCGGCAGGAUGUUUCUUUGGAGGAAACCUGCCACCUCACUCUGGCUCAAGCAGCAUCUGAAGAUAAGGACACUAUGUUGGAGUGAGCAGCGCGUAAGUAAAAAUGCCACCUUACUCUGGCUCAAGCAGCAUCUGAAGAUAAGGACACUAUGUUGGAGUGAGCAGCGCGUAAGUAAAAAUGCCAUCCAUCAUGAGUAUUUUUACUCUCAGAGGUGUUACAUUUGAAAGCUGUUUACUUUCUAUGUUUUUCUUCAAUAGAUCUUCGAGCUCCUGCGGUUAAUUGAGGAGGCAACGACCAUAUCUGACAACAUCAAGAGAGGCGAGAUUCACUUGCUAGAUUUUGUCUUUGAUGUCAUGCUCGCAGAGGUGAGUAGAUCAAACUAUAUACAGUAGCUUGCUUUCAAAAUUGAUGAUAUUGUUAAGAGGUUGUUUUUAUUCAUUUGGAAAGCUCAAGAACAACAAUUAACCCAUACUGCAUAACUUCAAAUGUUCACAUUAUUUGACUGUUUUUCAGCUUUUGAUCAAAGUACUUCAAGACCAUGGCAUCACCCGACUCAGGGUGGAGCAGAUGAUGACCUGUGGCAACGUUCUCAAUUAUGGGACGUGGAAGCCUGUAUAUGUAUAUAUAAUAAUAUUUUUUUUAC